rnacentral:rRNA from 1 species
AUGAUCGGAGUCGUUUUAAAGGUUUACCGCAGCAAGCAAGCUCACACCGAGGCAGCGGCAGAAGCAGCCGCUGCCGCUGCCGCUCGAACUCGAGAGUUGCCGUGGCCGCGGCAGUUGCCGGGGCUAGAAUCCCUCUGGCAACAUGAUGAGGUGCAGCUGCCGAGAACCCGUGCUACCAACCCGGGGGCCCGCGCUACAAACCCGACGGCCCGCCUCCCGGCGUUCACGCACAACCGGUCCGUGAAGCACAACGUGACGGGUGGAGGAGAGGAAGUGGCGACGUGCUCCGUGUGCCUCGGCGUGUUCCAGCUAGGUGAGACGGUGCGGCUGUUGCCGGCGUGCAUGCACCUGUACCACGUGGAGUGCAUCGACCCGUGGCUGGACGCGCACUCGACGUGCCCGAUCUGCCGCUCGGACGCCGACCCGACGAUGAACGACGCUCGCCCACCUCCCGUUUAA